rnacentral:lncRNA from 1 species
CCAGGAGCCCUUCCCUUUUCCAAAAGAAGCCUUUGAGGAGGGCUGCAGGAGGGGCAGGACCGGGGGUUGUUGCCCCCACCUCAGGAAGCAGAUUCCCCAGCACGCCCUAACCACGCCCGAGGCUGGUGGACGGAACUGUGCAAGACCAGCCUCUCGUGCUUCUCAAACAGGGAGCCCGGGAGAUGGCCACAGGUUCUCUUUGCGAUGUUGGCCGUCUUCCUCCACCAGCGCUAAGUGGUCUGUACAUCGGGAGAGAGAAGUGGCUCCUUUUUAAGCCUAAUGGAUUUACACAGACCAUUCUCUUCAUUCUCCUAAAACUCUUGGGAUGGACAAUAGCAGCACUUCCAGCUCUGCCCCGCACUGUCUUGGGGACAGACAAAGGGGAAGGAGCACCAGUGGGGAACCCUCCAGCGUUGGCAGAGGCGUGCACCCAUCACCCAGUGUGGAGAGGCCUCAAUGGGGCAGGGAGCACUGCCCAAAGCGGGGGAGCUUCACUUGCA